UCCUCCAUCAAAGCUCUUCCCUUUCUCUCUUCCCAUCAAGCCAACACCUAAAUUUCUCUCCAAGCUGCUGCCCCUAUCUUUCUUUUUCUCUUCUUCAUAAGUUAUAGGGAGGUACUAACCCUAGCACGACACCAUAUUCCUCCAUAGAUCCAUUCUCCACAUCCUAAGAAAUCUUGGAGAGGUCCUAACCCUAGCACACUUUCCAUCAAA
rnacentral:lncRNA from 1 species